UGGGGAAUUUUGGACAAUGGCGCAAGCCUGAUCCAGUAAUGCCGCGUGCAGGAUGAAGGCCUUCGGGUUGUAAACUGCUUUUGUACGGAACGAAACGGUCUUUUCUAAUACAGAAGGCUAAUGACGGUACCGUAAGAAUAAGCACCGGCUAACUACGUGCCAGCAGCCGCGGUAAUACGUAGGGUGCGCGCGUUAAUCGGAAUUACUGGGCGUAAAGCGUGCGCAGGCGGUUUUGUAAGACAGAGGUGAAAUCCCCGGGCUCAACCUGGGAAGUGCCUUUGUGACUGCAAGGCUUGAGUGCGGCAGAGGGGGAUGGAAUUCCGCGUGUAGCAGUGAAAUGCGUAGAUAUGCGGAGGAACACCGAUGGCGAAGGCAAUCCCCUGGGCCUGCACUGACGCUCAUGCACGAAAGCGUGGGGAGCAAACA
rnacentral:rRNA from 1 species